CCUCGCUGGGGCAGUGGCCCAGCCACCUUGGCAGCAGCAUCUCCCCUUUUUCUGAUCCUGCAAAAGCUUCCCGGCUGCUGCUCCAUCAGGAACUGGCUUGGGGGGAUGGAGCCAGGACACAGCUGAGCUCCACAGCAUCAAUCUGUGGACAGCGUACUGGAAGUAAAUGAUGCCUCAUUCCUGUGACUUUCGCUCCAUAAUGGCUACCGAACCGCGGCAGGAUACUCGACCAAUGGAAACUCGGUUCCAAAAGGACCCAUGCUAAUGACUAAUAAGGAGGGGGAUAGUCACAGUGUUGUGGGAAAAAAAGCCACUUUCUUUCCCACCAGAUAACUGGAGGCUCCCUUUCCAGAGAUACCCACAUUCCAUAGGAUUCAACUUUCUACAUUUCUGGGGGUUGACAAGAACAGAGAAGCACAGGAAAAAAGAGUUUGGGAAAAUAUAAAACCACAUUAUCCCUAAAGCUUGUGUCAGAAAUUUUCAAAGCCAGGCACGAGAUUAAAGUGAUGGGAGACGCAAACGUAAAUCUACCCCGCUGCUUUGAACAUCUCAACCGUGCUGUGACUGUCUCUGUCUUCACUGUCAACAUUUGGCUGGAUGUAUCCCUUGUCUCUUCAAUGUGGCUUUGUGCUACAAGCUGAAAACAAUAUCUGUCUAGCUAAGGAUUAAACAUUUAGGGCCAGACUGGCAGGAUCAAGCAGCCUAAAGGGAAAGUUUAUAUGAAGCCGAUCCGUGGGGAACCAGUUUGGCGUGGGGAGAUCCAUCAUUGGAACGGUGCUCAUGCAGAUGGUGAAGGCCAUCAACAGGGUGCUGCUCUGCAGAGUCAUCCGCCUCACCGACCUGGACGCGGUCAUCCAGGGGUUUGGUUGUUAUAAUUUGGAAAUAGAAAUACAAUGCCUAAUGAAAAGAGAGGUUUAGAAUGGUAGUUGUGCUGUAAGCACAAAAGGGGGGACUGUGGAGGCAGGAAAAAGGGAAUAAAGGAAUUUGUGUGCAGCCAUCUUGGUCUUGUUAACAAGAGAGCAAGAGUCAGGCUAAGUUUGUGGCCUGACAA